UACAGAGACGUCAAGCGUUGUUCGGAUUCAUUGGGCGUAAAGGGUGCGUAGGCGGUGAGGUAAGUCGGAUGUGAAAUACCAGAGCCCAACUCUGGAAGGGCAUCCGAAACUGCCUCGCUCGAGGACUGGAAGGGAGACUGGAAUUCUCGGUGUAGCGGUGAAAUGCGUAGAUAUCGAGAGGAACACCGGUGGCGAAGGCGGGUCUCUGGACAGUUCCUGACGCUGAGGCACGAAAGCUAGGGGAGCAAACGGG
rnacentral:rRNA from 1 species